AUGUUUAGCUAAACAGAAUAAAAUUUUUUUCUAUAAAUGUGUUCUCUGUUAUUUCAGAUUCUCAGAUUGACUAUGAAACAUCCUGUUUGUGAAAAGACAGAUGCUGAAACCCAUCAAAACAAUAGAGGAUUUUGGGCCACCAUACUAAUAUAUGGGUGUCAUCUUGCUGGCAAUGAAACAAAAAGUGCCUGGUGUUCUAAUGUUCACUUCCUGGAGGAUGGAUGAAGUUUUAGCAUAUUGGUUUGGGCUACAAAGGAGGAGGAUCAAACAUGCAGAGAUUUAAAGAUAUUUUUAGUUGAGAAAAUGUUAUAAAAAUAAGUAAAGAAAUUACUUGAUAAAAACAAAUAUAGUACAUUUGUAAUACAAUUGAAUCCUGAAUAAAUCUUUUAUUACUUUCAUGUGUUAUGUUUAGUAUUUUGUUUUUUAUUCUUUAACUUUUUUUAUAUUUAUAGUUUUAUAUUGUUAUAUUUUUACCAUGAUAUUGAUGUGCAAUAUGUGUAGUUUUAACUGUUUAUUAUGAUUUCAAUGUAUCUUACUAUGGGAGCCGUUGUUUGGUCAGAAUAAAUUUAACCAUAUACUGUGGUUGCUACAAUUUUUAGAGAUCUGAUUUCGAUAAUGAACAAAAAUGUACCUCUGCAUCCUAACAUAGUAUCAAAUGUGUAUUUCUAAGAGACAAAAAGUGAUAUAAAUAUUAUUAAUAUUAUUGGGAAACCCAAACAGUUUUUUUUUUUUUUUUGGAAACAAUAUCACUCAUUAGAACAUCCAGAAACUCAGAAACUAACUUUUCUAUUUAGAUAUUUAUUUUAAGGAAAAUUAAUGGGCCGAUUGCACCAGCUAGACGUAAAGAAGCUGAGUGUUAGUACUAUGCUGGGCUAUGCAACGUCUAGCUUUACGCUAAAUAUUUACACCUGUUGCACCACAAUCGGCGCAGCUACGUCCAGUAUGGCAUUCUCCCACAGAUAUAGAUCUAUCUGAGACUAUGUUCACGCCACAAUGACUACAACUACUAAUCUAGAACUUAAUUGCUUAAGACAUCAUAACAAGUGAAGCCACCGCACCAUGAUUUCAGUAAACAUUUCCUAACAAGUCGGUGUUUUUAAAUCUAAAGUCUCCCUGCACAUUCCCAUGACGGAUUUAAUCAAGGUUAAGUCAAAUAUAACAUUUUGUUGGGAAAAUUGUAUUUGCAUCUACUAUGCUGCAUAAAACGUAUUAUUACCCCAAAAAUGUUGCUGUCUGACAAAGUUUCUCAAAUAAUGUGUGUAAAAUAUGCUAAUAGUCCAAGCUUACAUGAUGAUGUAUGUCUUACCUGUAUAUUUUUGUUUUCUUUACCAACAAUGGACUCGUUUCCUUCCUGUUUGUUGUCUCCUGUACUUUCUGUUUGGAGGUCAUUGUAUGUGUCUGAUUGAGCAACUGUCAUUAUGCAUUUCUGUUCGCAGUGCUUUGCUUAAAUUUUGAACCCUUCGCAAUAAUAAAUGUCUUUGGAAUUUUC